rnacentral:rRNA from 1 species
UACGUAGGGGGCAAGCGUUAUCCGGAUUUACUGGGUGUAAAGGGAGUGUAGGCGGUAUAGCAAGUCAGAAGUGAAAGCCCAAGGCUCAACCAUGGGACUGCUUUUGAAACUGUUAGACUAGAUUGCAGGAGAGGUAAGUGGAAUUCCUGGUGUAGCGGUGAAAUGCGUAGAUAUCAGGAGGAACACCGGUGGCGAAGGCGGCUUACUGGACUGUAAAUGACGCUGAGGCUCGAAAGCGUGGGGAGCAAACAGG